UUAUCUGCAAUAGUUAGUCUUCACGAAACAAACAUCACUUCUCAUUCCCACAGCAGAAAUCAGUUAUUGAAUCUACCCAGUUACUACUACUACAUCAACAACAACAGCAACAACAACUUCUUACCACCAUUACUACUACUGCUACUACUGCUGCCACUACUACUGCUGCUGCUAAUUACAGUCACAAGCAGUCAGACGAGCGGGAGCGUCGGAGGUAUCACGGUGUCCUGGUGAGAGCGCUGGAGGGAAGAAAACGCCAUGAGGAACGGGAGAGGAGAAGAGAAGAGAUGAAGGAGGAGAAGCGAGCCA